rnacentral:lncRNA from 1 species
CUAAUGGUACUCAUAGUUAAUGGUGGUUGUCUCUCCCUGUGCCUUUUGUGUAGAAAGAGAGGCCUUUCAAAUUCAGUGUCUGAUCAUUUCAGUAAAGGGGCCAGAUUUAUUAAAGAUUUGGUAUAAUUUGGAGUUCCCAUCGUAGCGCAGCAGAAACAAAUCCGACUAGGAACCACGAGGUUGCGGGUACGAUCCCUGGCCUUGCUCAGUGGGUUAAGGAUCUGGCGUUGCGGUGAGCUGUGGUGUAGGUGGCAGAUGCGGCUCGGAUCCGGUGUUGCUGAGGCUGUGGUGUAGGCCGGCAGCAGUAGCUCGGUUUAGACCCCUAGCCUGGGAACUUCCGUAUGCUGUGGGUGCGGCCUUAAAAAGACCAAAAAAAAAAAAAAAAAAAAAAAAAAAAGACAAAGACACAAAAGAAUUGGGAUAAUUUUUUGUUUCUUCUUGUAGCACAACUUUUAUUUUGAUUGACCAUCGUAUAACUAAAAUGUUUUUCAGGUAUCAAAAUUCAUGCUUUCUUAAUAUCAAAAAAUUUUAAAAAUUUAAGUUUUUUGGCAUGUAUAAUUAAUGAUGUAAUUAAGAUGAUUAACCUGCUUCAGAAGAUUAACCAUCAGUAGUUAUGAAAGUAAGUAUAAAUUAAAGAUCAGUGCUUAGAUUUCAGUUUAGUAUUUUAUAGCCACUACUCAAUAUUGUACUUUUUAUCCAGUAUUGCAUUUUAUAUGGAGCUUAUUUCUUUCUCAACACAUGUAUUUGAAAUGUAGAGCCACAGAAGGAACAUAGUUUUUUAUCAGAAAGAGACAAACAAGAAAAAUUAUGGCAUCAGACAAUCACUGAGUAAAUGUGUACAUAUUUUCCCAAAAUUUUUCUGUUUAAAUAUUUAGUAAAAUAUUUUUAAAUGUGGUUAAACUUUAGAGUGAUACGCAACCAUGUGUUCACAACCCAAGUAUGUAUAUACUUUUCUAAUCGUGAUAUCGAAAUGAAUUUAAGAAAAAAAUUGUUAUUAAAAAAUUAUCAGACCAGGAGAAAUGAGUGUAGGUAAUAAUUUAAAAGUAAUUUCUACAUUUUAAAAUUAGGCAAAAAAAAAACCCUCACAAAUAUGUCUUUCAUAUUUUUCUGUGAAAAAAUUGUAAUGAAAAACUUCCAUUGGAAAAAAUGAUUUCAUUGGAAAAGUAGAAAUAAGUGCUUUAAAUUUAA